UAUGGAGUGAUGCUGUGGGGCAGUGCUGUUGGGUAGUGUUAUUGGAAUUUGUUGUUGGGUGACACUAUGGGGCAGCAGUAUGGGACAGGGAUAGUGCUAUGCGGUGAUGCUAUGGGGCGCUGUUAUGAGGUGAUGCUAUGGGACAGCACUAUAGGGCAGCGCCAUGGAAUGAUGCUGUUAUAAGGAGGUUGCUGCAGUAUCACACCACCACAGAUCUAGCAUCUCCCAUUCUGAAGAGGUGAGAGAAAGUGGGGAAAACUGAGAGAGGGGGAAGAAAAACCUUCCUGUUCACCUAGGACAUUGAUAUAUGCUGAUGACAGGGAGUUACCUUCCAAGGUAUGUGGAUUUCAGAAUGGCAGCAUUUUAUAUUACACAAUCCUGAGAUUCCAAAAAGUCCUCAUGGGAUGUGGCUGAGGCAAAACUAAAGAUUUCUGUAGUAACUCCAUUAAACUAAGUAUACUAGAAACUUAAUAAAUCAUGUGGACUGCACUUUGGAUCAACAAUCUCUAACGUAUCUCAGGGGCGAGGGAUCUCAACUAGCAAGUCCAAAACCUAUCAGUAAGCUCAGUUUUAUAUUAUUACAUUACAUAUCAGCUGAGAGAACUCUUCCUGUUUUUUUAAUAAUCUAACAAAGCAUUUUUGUGUCUCUCAGCAUUUAACAUUCAAUUUGUUAAAUGUCACUGAAGAAAAAUAAAAUGAAAAAGACAACAGUUAAUAACAUACUCUUUAAUAUUUUAUCAUCCCAUGACUCUCUGUUUCGCCAUGUUGACCUAAUUUACCAUGACAGGAACAUGGUCCUUGUUUCAGAAUACUCCAAGUAUAGAAAUAACUAAACCUUAGUGAGAACUGUAUGGUACCUUGGCAAACAGAGUCUGUUUUAUUGACAUUAUUUUAACUGCUAAUAGUAAGGAAAUAUCAUUAAAAAGACUUAAAUAUACUAUGUGGAAUAUAAUUUAUUUAGGUAUAUAAAAUUUUAAUUGCUACAGAUAGGGACUGAUUCUUCCUCAUACAGCAGCCUGUCAAUAUUUUCACAUUACAUCUUGUUACAGUUCAGUUAGUAUUUUUUUAGAUCAGGCAAACUUCUGUAAAUCUAAAUUUUGUUAGGACUGUCUUGACACUCUGAAUCACAGGAUGGCUUGGGUUGUAAUGGACCUGAAGGAUCAUCAAGCUCCAACCCCCCUGCUGCAUGCAGGGCUGCCAACCUCCAUAUCUAAUACUAGACCAGGCUGCCCAGGGCCCCAUCCAACCCGGCCUUAAAUGAAACUCACAGCAUAAAUUCUUCAACUGGAAUUGAACUAAAACUAAAACAGCUAAAAAAUUGGGCCUAAAAACGAAACAGUGGCAAUGAUCUGAGGAGAAACAAACUAAUUUACUAAAUAAGAUAUCAGAAUGCAAGAAAACACUCUAUAAUACAAUAUAAUACAAUAUAAUUGGAAUUGAAGCUAAUAAAUCAAAUAAAAUGAGAGAGAGUGUCUGAAAACCGAAGGCCUUACUCUAAUGUUGAGGCGAGACAAUCUGGGGAGCUCACAUGCUGCUGAGAAUCAAAAGGGAAGGGAAAAUGACCUAUGAAGGCCUUUUAUCUUCUUCCCCGACCAGAAAUGACAACAGAACAGCGCACAGUUCACUGAGAAAUGUAGUUCUCUUCUAUUCUGGGGCUGGUACCUGGAACUGGAGCAUUAAGUCUUUAACUCCCAGUACACUACAUGAUGUUAUGAUGUGGAAUACCAGUAACCAAAAAUCAUAAAACCAUGACAAUAAGAAUUCAGAAAACUGGAGGAAAAUGAUGAGUGAAGUAGUGGGUAUUUGAGUUAGAUGGUAUGUCUGGAACACUGCUUGUAUCAGAAAUAGUGCUGCCAACAGGAGCAGGGAGGUGAUCAUCCCUCUGCACUCAGCCA